rnacentral:rRNA from 1 species
AUGAAAGCGCUAGGAAAAGGGGGGUUAAAGGCGAAGGUGAAGGUGCCUAGUCGCUUUCUAGAUUCCAAUACGGGGGAAAUGAUGAUAGACGAGCUGAUUGAGAACAUCGUUGCCAGUGGCACGUACGAUGAUGAUUUUCUCCGUAGAAUUGUUCUGGUUCUUCUAGGCACGGUUCUUGCACCGCAGUCCACGAAAGAAGUUCCUAAUGCUUAUUACAAGUUAGUGCACGAUGUGGAGGCCAUCAAAGCAUUUAAUUAG